ACGCACGCUGGCGGCGUGCUUAACACAUGCAAGUCGAGCGGAAAGGCCCUGCUUUUGUGGGGUGCUCGAGUGCCGAACGGGUGAGUAACACGUGAGUAACCUGCCCUUGACUUUGGGAUAACUUCAGGAAACUGGGGCUAAUACCGGAUAGGAGCUCCUGCUGCAUGGUGGGGGUUGGAAAGUUUCGGCGGUUGGGGAUGGACUCGCGGCUUAUCAGCUUGUUGGUGGGGUAGUGGCUUACCAAGGCUUUGACGGGUAGCCGGCCUGAGAGGGUGACCGGCCACAUUGGGACUGAGAUACGGCCCAGACUCCUACGGGAGGCAGCAGUGGGGAAUAUUGCACAAUGGGCGGAAGCCUGAUGCAGCAACGCCGCGUGCGGGAGGACGGCCUUCGGGUUGUAAACCGCUUUCGCCUGUGACGAAGCGUGAGGGACGGGAAUGGGGAAAGAAGCACCGGCUAACUACGG
rnacentral:rRNA from 1 species